CAGGACAUGAAAUGCAGUGUGUAUUUAUUCAGCACGUCUCUUCAUUGAAUUCUGUGAACACUGAUAUUCUGUAUUAUUGGAAAACUACGUGAGGACAAGAGGAAAGAGAACGAUUGGAGCAGGUGAGAAGAGAGAGAGAGAAGCAGGUGAGAAGAGAGAGAGAGAAGCAGGUGAAAAGAGAGAGAGAAGCAGAUGAGAAGAGAGAGAGAAGCAGGUGAGAAGAGAGAGAGAAGCAGGUGAGAAGAGAGAGAGAAGCAGAUGAGAAGAGAGAGAGAAGCAGGUGAGAAGAGAGAGCGAAGCAGGUGAGAAGAGAGAGAGAAGCAGGUGAGAAGAGAGAGUGAAGCAGGUGUGUUAUGUCACCACCUGUUUACUCUCCAUCCCGCCAGAGAAG
ensembl:lncRNA